GGGAAGCGAGGGCAGCUGUGUGUUGAGGAGAAGAGGAAAACCAGAGAAAAAAACCCAGAGUGAAACCUGUGAAAAAGGAAAAAGAGUCGGAGCACUUACCCAGUGGAGGUCCGGAGCCAAGUGGCUGAACGAAGGAGAGUUACGUCGGUAACACGAGUUAAUUAUCCGAUGAAAAGAUAGCUUGACGUCGUCCAUGCUAAUGCCAGCUCUGUGCUUAGCAGGCUAACUUCUUGCCUGUCCUCCGGAGAGCUGCUACGAGGUUCGGCAUCGGCAUGCUCCACCUUGACACACAGAGCAACGGUCAGGUUUUUUAGAGGACUGGAGAGUCUGAGGUUCAGGACAACUUCCUGCUGUAAAAGAUGGCGAGUCAACUACCCUGAUUGAAGAUUAGCACCGAGGAGAUAUUCAGGUACACACUCAUUCACACAAAUAAUACACUCACAUUACACUACAAGGAACCUUGGAAUCAGGUGAACUUGCAACAACUCCUUUUAUUUUAAGGGCCCCAACAGACAAUUUUGUUUUAAGUGUGCACACUACUUUUUUUAUUUUUCUUACUGUUUGGUAUGAUAUUUUGCAUUUUGUACGAACCAGACAAAUUACUUUGUUCACUGUAAAAUAUAAGAGUGGCUACUCAAUUGUUACUCUUGUGUCUGCCUCAUUGUUGUUGCUCAGUACAGUGGCUCCUCUCGAAUUUGGUCUCUUCUGAUUCUGGUCCUGGUCUUAUUGUUAGUCCAACUUAUAUUAUACUGUAAUUCACUUUUACACUCCUAAAAUUGGUUACAUGGGCUCUGAUGACCUGAACUACGCAGGACUGAGUUUCCUUCCAAGAGCAGAGCGGAGCAGAAGGCCUGCUAGAGAGAGAGAGCCGGAGCCUAAUGUUGUCUACGCCACCACCAUGCACUCAAGAAACCACCGGAACUGAAGCUCAGAGAGGAACUGAGGCGUUGUCGUCAGUCUGCUUUUGGGCUUUUGUGCUGUUUGUGGAUGGGAGCAGUUGCCAUCACUGUGACAAGAUGUUGUGAAAAAUAAUUGUGAUAUCUAUGCCACAAUUUAAAAUCAUACUUAAACUCAACUCUUUAUCUUCUCAUUGUACAUGUGUAUCUUGAUGCAAAAGUAAAACGGCAAAAGGCUGGAAAAGGUGUUGAUGACUGUCCAGAGUUUUGUUUUAGUCACGACCUCCGGGGGAUGUCCGGAGAAUGGGGGCCGGACUUCCUGCAGUUUUUGCCUUUCAUACAUGAACAAAGCAGGAGAUUUUCUGCUCAUAUUGUUUAUCAAGCAGUAUUGUUGUAAUCAUGAUCCUAAUAUCAGGGUCCCCCUUUACGAUCACUAUCCAUCACCAAGAUCAGAUGCCACCAUGAAACACAUCUUCAAUUAAAUUGAAAUCUGUUACCACCAUCACCCAGGUGGAAGUCUGCAGUAUGGUGGAACAUCACUUGUUUGACGACCCCUAAUGCAUUGCUCACAGGGAGAUACAGAUGAACAGAUCCAGAGGACAGAGGGAUGAUACCUGGAGUGAAUGUGUGUACUUGAGUGUGAGGCAGUAGAGCUGGACACCUUCUGUAUUUGUCUCUGUGUUUAAUCACAACAGUAUGUCUUUACUGACAUCAGAACAGUCCUGCAAAGUAGAUUUUUACCUCCGUGUGCAACAUGUGAAGCUUCAGCUUGCUAUCUUCUAAAUAAAACAAGUUUAAUUUUA